GUCGAGUUGUUUGGGAUUGCAGCUCAAAAUGGGUGGUAAAUUCCAUCUAAGGCUAAAUAAUUGCAAGAGACCGAUAGCGAACAAGUACCGUGAGGGAAAGAUGAAAAGAACUUUGAAAAGAGAGUUAAACAGUACGUGAAAUUGUUGAAAGGGAAACGAUUGAAGCCAGUCAUGCCGGUGGGAAAUCAGCUUCCGGGGUAACCGGGGAGUGCACUUUCUCGCAGGGCAGGUCAGCGUCAGUUUCGCCAGUCGUAAAAAGUCCGUCGGGAUGUGACUCCUUUCGGAGUGUUAUAGCCAGCGGUCGAUGCGACGAGCGGGAUUGAGGAUUGCAGCGGGUGCCUUUCGGGGCUAAGUGCCUGGCCCUUGUUCGUGGUCGUCUUGGUAACAGCGUGCUGGUGCCGAGCCCGAUCCGCGGACACGGGGUUUAGCGUCACGGUAAACUCGUUAAGGAUGCUGACGUAAUGGCUUUAAACGACCCGUCUUGAAACACGGACCAAGGAGUCUAACAUACGUGCGAGUGUUUGGGCGGAAAACCCAAGCGCGCAAUGAAAGUGAACGUAGGUGGGAGUUCUCUCACGGGAACGCACCAUCGACC
rnacentral:rRNA from 1 species